GUAGAACUAUUCAUUAUACAAAUCCACAAAUGUGGACAAAGAGCAAGCCCAUCACUGGCUCUGGCUGGAGACAGGCUGUGAUAACCAUCAGACAGGCACGCACUGAGAAGGAUUUCUCCUCUCGUCCAUGUCCCUCUCCCACCAGGAAGGUGGGGCACGUGAAGUUGCCUACUGUAGUGGAACCAUCAUCAACAACAGGACAAUGAUCCACCAACAUAUUCCUGCCAGGAAUUAUUUGCAGACAAAAACGAUCCAUCAGGUUACGAGAGAAGCCCUGACAGAAUACAGGCUGAAUAUAGCAGACUUUGCAGGAAUUUCUAUCAAUCCUAUCACGAUUCCGCCCUCCUACUGGAGCAGUACAGCCAUGAAUGCUGACCAGCAUCAACCAGCUGAUUAAGACACAAAUCUCAAUAUUACUAAUAAAACAGCAAGUGUCAGAAAUAAUAGCCACUAUGAGCAUGUACAGUUUCAGCUGCAAAAUGGAGAAAAAAGAACUUUUAUGGUGUCUUGCCAAUAAAUUCAUCUCUGGGGAACUAUCAAAA